rnacentral:pre_miRNA from 1 species
GAAAUAUUACCUGCGUCCCAAAUUACUUGUCUUAGAUUUGUCUAGAUAGGGAUGUACCUAUCUAGACAAAUCUAAGACAAGUAAUUCGGGACGGAGGGAGUAUGAA